rnacentral:rRNA from 1 species
GACGGAGGGUGCAAGCGUUGCUCGGAAUCAUUGGGCGUAAAGGGUGCGUAGGCGGCUUUUUAAGUCUGACGUGAAAGCCCAGGGCUUAGCCUUGGAAGUGCGCCAGAAACUGGAAGGCUAGAGUGCCGGAGGGGAGAGUGGAAUUCCUGGUGUAGCGGUGAAAUGCGCAGAUAUCAGGAGGAACACCAAUGGCGAAGGCAGCUCGCUGGGACGGUACUGACGCUGAGACGCGAAAGCGUGGGGAGCAAACAGG